GGGAGACAUUCCGAGAUACAGACAGAGAAAGAGAACAACGGCAUAAGGAGAAAUGAACGUGGGCUUCAGCACGAGUAGAGAUUAAAGACGGAGAGAGGGAGGGGUCCUACGCUGAGGAGGAGUAGGAGUAAGAGAAGGAGGGAGAGAAACGGACGAGUGCAGGCAUAAGGCUAAGCCACACCUUCCCGCCCGUCUCUGGCCAGGGAUGCGUGGAGGCUGACGGUCACCUGGGCAACGGCGGGGGGAGGCGGAGGGAUGGGGCCGGCAGCAGCAGGUAUCUGGCAGUCUCUCUCUCUCUCUCGGUGAAGAGGGAAGCGGGGGGCCAGGGACGUGCCGCCAAUGAGCCAGAGCGCUAACCGCCGCCACUCGCCGGAGCUCGCCGGGACCACCGCGGGCGUCGCCAGGGACCCGAGGUCAGGCAGGGACUCGACCUGACCCCGGAGCCCGCCCCGGCCUCUCCCUCUGUCCGCCCCCCCCCCCCCCCCCCCCACCUGAGUUUCCUCCACCUCCUGCUCUCUGGAGCAGACUCUAGUUAUUCUCACGCUCCAGCUCUGCUUCGCGUGUACCGCUCACCACAGCCCCCCCUCCCCUUCCCCCACCACCCAAUUUUCCGAGCGUCUUCCCAGGUGACGGCAGCAGGAGCGGCGGCUGUGGAGAGCGCGAGGGAGGCUCCUGGGCAUUUCUGAGGCGCGCGGGGGAGACGUUGGAGUGCGUGACAGGCGGGGGACGAGUCCGGACCUCCUGGCGAUGUGACGCGGAGAGGAGCCGUUAACAUCGCCCGCCACCGGCACAGAGGGAGGGACCAUGCCCCGCUCGAAUCCGCGGCGACGCCAGGACCGUGCGAACGGCGCUCCCGACGCGAGACUCCUGAUUAAAAAUUCAUCCUGCCAGGCAUGUUCCAAAGACCGACACCAGCCACCGGCUCCCAGCGCGGUGAAAACAAACUGAACGCAGCCGGGUCCCCGGGGGGCCACAGGAAACCAGGACUGUUCCUGCAGUCGCGACCAAAAACGUGCAAGGGCUGAGAGCGUUUCCAUGGGAGACGCCAUGCACUGAAACGUCCUGUUGCUGCGAAAAAAAAAAAAAACUGCACAUUUUCAUUUUGAGAUAAAAACAGUACAAGUCGAACCCUUACGGAUACACAGACCCCAGGAUACCCUGCCAGGUGUCUUCUUACUACAGACGGAAGGAGGAGGGAAUCGAGCAGAAGAGGCACUUAAAUACCCAGGGGGAGAAGGGACAGUGGUGUGCAGGGGUUGGGGAGGGGGGGUGGGGGGGGGAUUGUUCUGAGGCGGCAUACAUGGAGUGGGAUCUGGAAUAGAGAAGAGAGAAAGAGAAUCUCUGCUCCUCUCCUGGUGCAAUGUGUGCAGGUGGCGCUCCAUGUGAGGGUGAAGCUCACUGACGUCAGCAUGCUCCGUUCAAGGCAAUAUGUCCGCUCGAGGCAGUAUGAGGACGAGGAUUCCGAUGAGCAGGAGGAGAGGAUCCUGGCCUUGCUGGGCAUCAUCGGGACUGUCCUUAACCUGCUGGUGGUCAUCGUCGUCUACAUCUACACCACCAUCUGAGGACCGUCAGAGACGGGCUCGGUCAUGGUCGCUGCCCCUCCUCAACCUGCCCAAAUUCAAGCAGUGUCCGUCGACGCAUCCACCCCCUGCCCGGAGGAAGAAGGGACGGAUAAUGACCACGAACCGUCGAUGACGCGGGACCACUCUUCCUGUUGAACGCCCCUCUUUUUGUACAUAUAUUUUCACAGUUACUUCUAAUGUAUUCUUCCACAGUUUUUGUGUUUUGCUUUGCAUCGUUCAACUAGUCUUCCGCAGCAUCUCCUAUCGCUUGCAGUUCACAAUCUAAUGAAUUGCAUUUAUUGGUUUAUUUUACGGGGAUAAUGCACAUUAAUGACAUAUCUGUAAAUGUAUCAGAGCCAUUGAGGCGGAUUGUUCAUUCACAGCCCCUGGGCUACAUGUCUUUGGGAGGAAACUGGAUUACCCGGAGGAAACCCACGCAAACACGGGGAGAACCUGCAAACUCUACGCAGAGGGGAUCCAGGCCAGCCGGGACUCAAUCCCAAAACCAGAACAGUGCACCACUGUGCCGCCCUUCUCACAGUAAUUUCUCCACCAGCGGGGGCGUUCUGUUGAUAAGCACAACCAGGUUAUGUCUUAAGAGGAAGUGAUGGAAACUUGCUUCCAGGUCAAAAAUGCACCCGCUGUGGGAUCUUGCCAUUUGAAAGUGCAAUGGAAUGCUAAUGCUGGUGAACCUCUGACCAAUGGGGUGGAAAAAAAGGACUUCCUAACCCACCCCACAAACUUCAAGGACAGAGGCGGCAGCCUCGACACACACUGCAUUCUCAAUAUAUUGUUUUCUACCAAAAGGCUCAAAUCGGAGAAAACAUGAUACAAGAGGAGUUAUUUGGGAAAUUGUUUAUUUCUUACCUCUUUUACAGUAUUAGCUAUUUCUUCUGGUCAUUGAUUUAUGUGUGCUAGAGGUUCAUGCUUCAUAACUUGAAUUGAAAAUCAAACAGUAUUAACAAAAUAUGUCAUCCAGUAAGCCAGUGGUGUGGGCCAUGUAAAUAACUGUGAAACAGAUCAUGGGCCAGAAGUGUAGCACUAUGAUGGAAUGUGACCAGGUGGAUGAGGGGGCGGUGUUCCCAGCUGUGGCUACAGUGGUUUCUCGCAUCCUGUGAGAAUCAAUAGACCUUUCUCGUGUACGCACUGCCAACCCACAAGUUUACAAAUAGUAGCGUAGCAACACAAGUUCUGCCAGCUCUUAACGAUAACUGACAACAAUCAAUGUCUGUUCUAAUCGAUAUAUCGAUACAAACAGCAAAAAACGUAUUAACUCACGUUUAACAUGCUUGUUAGCUUGCUAGCCUGUUCUGAUCAUUACAAAGAUUAAAAUAUAAAUGAUUCCUCUAUUUUUACAAACAUACCUUAUACAAACACAUAUUAACCAAAUGAAAAAGUCACUCCUGUGCUGUUUGUUGCAGAGGAGGAAGUGACAAAUGUCACAAUUAACAAAAAUGAAAAACGUGUUUACAAAAGUGUGGAAGCUCAAAACACAGAUGUUUUAAUUUGCUAGAUGAGCAUAAUGAUACAUUACAAAAAUCGGCCCUUAACGUAAGCUUCCGGAGCGUGUUGAAAUGUUGAACAAUGUACAAACUGGAAUGAGGGUGAAGACAUUGAGGAGGUUACGUUAAGAUUACAAGUUAAAAUUAGCUAAAUAUUCUUUUAGAAAGUAUGACUGUGUCAGGCUUAUUUUUUAAAUGUGUAUCAAGCUACCACUGGUGUAUUAUCAACUGGCUUUUUGUUGCUAAUGCUAGCCAACUGAGCAUAAUUUAGCAUGUGUCGUGAGCUAAGAGUUGGAGCAGCAGCCAUUACAAGGGACAAAUGACCAUGUCCGUGUGACAGGUCACAUUAGCCAAUCAAAGAAAAAAAUAUGGGCCUUGGGAAAAGUGCAAUUUUGGAAAAGGGAGUUUCUGGUUUUUAUACAGUCCUGUGGUUUAGCCUGGUGAUUUUUUCUUAUCCACAACAAAAAAAUGUGAAGUAGAACAAAAUUCAUAUUUUAUCAGCACAUGAGUACCAUGCCACACUACAUAAUCAGUGCCAAAACUAGGUAGACAACUAUUUCUCGAAUAUGAGACCUUUAGCAGCUGGCUGAGGUGUUGCUAUGCUAGUUUUUGUAAACUUUGAAAUAAGGUUUUUAUGUCCACAGUUCGAGGAUUGGGUUGUAUGCUCCUGUUUUAUUUCUUUUCUCAUUUAUAUGAGCUGAUAGACUAUUUGGAACUUGCAAUCAUUCCAGAAGUUAAGGUGUACCAAGCUUCCACUGAAAUCACGUGACUUCCAAGCAAACUGCCGCACUGUACCAGUAGUUUUUCCAAGAUUUUUCUAGCUUGAUGUGUUCUCAGCUCGCCUUGUUGACUAAUCAGGUAGAGCUCCCAGUGCUUCCAGUGCUUCCGAAGCGUACUUGAGCGUGAAUGCGGAGACAUGCUCUGCGUGUCAAAGAGGGCUCGUCUGCCUUAUUCCUGUGCAAACACACGGCAAAGACACGGCUCUCUGUUUCCAAAAUUCCAAAAGUUUUGGAAAAUGCAACCUAUUCCUAGGGGAGAAAGGAAACAAAACACAUUAUACAUGAAAGUAUAUGGCGCCUGUGUGUUGUUUCUGAGAGAUCAUGGGCUGGUUGGCAAUUCUGAGGUAACUAAACGAGCAUUGUCAUAUCAGCCAGUCACGAUCAAACUGGACCUCUGUGAUACAAUUUGAACACAUUUCUGAAAAUGUGAAUAUUUCCCAUUUGUGGCAAGGUUAGCAAAAAAAAGGCACACAUUUGGAACAAUAUGAAAUUCUCAACUCCAAAGAAAAUGAACUGUUCUUCGCUGCGUAUUCAGCCCAAACGAUGGCCCUCCCUGUUGGGACUGGGUCUCCAGGCUCAGUGAGCUGACACGCUGAAGCUCUGCCUGUAAAGGCACAGAAUGUUCUGUCUCUCCUUUAAUGGCCCGGGUCUGCUUUGCCAGCAGCACUGCUCCAAACUGUUGCUAGGCUGCGUUUCUGUGGCGCUGAGUGCGCGUGACCAGACGACCCGCUACGUCGCCGACGACGCGUCUGCAUGUGUGCUGAACAAGAGCUGCAGGAAACCAUGGGAACCGGAUCAGUAGCAGUGCCAGAGGUCCAAUCGCUGGUGUCCAGGCAGGAGACUGCAAUCGCAGAGGGGGAGGUGCAGAGAGACUGGGGUGGGGGAUUUUUGGAGGUACGAAUCAAAGAUGGGUGUGCCUAGGACACAGGACACAGUGUGUGGCCGCCAGCUAACGGGAUCCGGCCUUAGGGUUCCGUGUGUUGUGUGCCAGCCGGGGACUGGCCUGCCCGCAGCCUCAGAACCAUCUGCUGCCCUUCAGACAGCGUCGUCUCCCGCUUCCCCACACAAAGAACCUGACUUAGCAAUAUCGCAGGGUAAAAUGGCUUAUCUUCAUUGUAUGCAAGAGUAUCUGGAUUCGAGUGCGUGUCAUGCACCGUCCAUACCAAGUCUAUGAGCGAUGUGUGGCCACUCAAAAGGACGGUCAUGCUUCCAGAGUAGAGAUGGCAGCUUUUGAGCCCUAGUACACAGUUUAGUGACGUUUUCCCAGUCCUGCGAUACAAUUUAACAUCAAACGAACGAGGAAACAAAAGUGAAUAAUUCUUUGGACCUGCGAUGAGGCGAGACGCUCGUCCCAGCCGCCCGACCAGACGGAUGCUGGCUUGCAGUGAAACGUGUCGUCCGUGAGGUUACACAACGCCGCCAUUUUUAACCCUGCCUCUCGCCUCACAGACCAGACUGUCAGGAGUGCGUUCCCCACUGAGUGUGAGGAGGACGGUGUGUCUGGCUUACACUGUACGCCAGAGCGCCAUGCUUACACAACAUGUAUUCAAUGGAGGAAUCACUAGCUAGCUGUUUUUAAUCAAACAAACCACUUCCUGUUUGUUUGGUUUUUUUUUUUGUUUUCAGACUAUAGGGCAGCAGUGAUUACGUUUUGCUGUAAAACACUAAACGUUUCUGUCUGGCUAUGGGCGAUCGACAGGUUUGCUUUACAAGAAGUAUGUUGCCGUCUUCUUUCGUUUGUGGAAGUCAACUUUUAUUUUGCAGGACUUGAGGCCAGAAUCUGCUGUUUAUGCAUUUUGUAUCGUCUGUUUGCAUCCAGGACGUACAAAUUCACUGCAUUCUUUCCAAGAAGAUUUCAGCCAGAAAUCAAUCAUGUCAUCUUCUUUCUUGAUGAUAGCUCUGAUUGAGCAUAAAAAUAAUCUGAAAAAAAAAUAAUAAUAAUAAUGUAAAGGAAUAUUUUUUUAAAACUCCAUUGCAUGUGCAUUUACCUGUACGUGUCCACAUCAGAAUUCACUGCUUUGAAUUUCUGCCACAAAACAUGUUUUCUUCCCCAAGAGUUAGAGAAUUAUGUAGAGUGAGCUAGUCAUAGCCCACUUUUGGCUGACAGUUAAAUUUCAGUUUCACUAUCAAUAUCACUCUCAAUCCUAGAUUAUAACUAUACAUACAUAACAUGUAGCAGGUCCAAGAUUCAGCUUGUGUUCUCAAUGAAUUUUGCCUUGUUUAUUAAUUCAUAAAAGCUAAUGUGUUGCCCAGCAAAAUAAGGAAUGUUUGCCUUUCAAAACUUUGUGUGUGUUGCCAAAUAUCAGUUGUUCUUUCAAAGAUUAUUCUGUUGCCAGGAAGCAACUGCAAAUCUCUCCAGUUUACUGUGUCCUGAAAAUGACAAUGUACUACUGCCAUGAAAUCAAAUGUAUUUUUAAUGUAACAUUUAUAUUAUGAAAUUAUGUGAUAAUAAAAUAAGAAAAUAUGCUA